rnacentral:rRNA from 1 species
UACGUAGGGUGCAGGCGUUGCUCGGAAUCACUGGGCGUAAAGGGUGCGUAGGCGGGUCUUUAAGUCAGGGGUGAAAUCCUGGAGCUCAACUCCAGAACUGCCUUUGAUACUGGAGAGCUUGAGUCCGGAAGAGGUGAGUGGAACUCCGAGUGUAGAGGUGAAAUUCGUAGAUAUUCGGAAGAACACCAGUGGCGAAGGCGGCUCACUGGUCCGGUACUGACGCUGAGGUGCGAAAGCGUGGGGAGCAAACAGG